CAUCAGUUAAUGGUAUGGAUGUCUCUGUGACAGUUGAAGGUGUAGCUGGACAACUAGGACGCCCCUGUUGAAGGUGUAGCUGGACAACUAGGGCACCCCUGCUGCAGGUGUAGAUGGACAACUAGGGCACCCCUGCUGAAGGUGUAGCUGGACAACUAGGGCACCCCUGCUGCAGGUGUAGAUGGACAACUAGGGCACCCCUGCU